CAGCGGAGGGACAUUA
rnacentral:rRNA from 1 species